rnacentral:lncRNA from 1 species
CAGUUAUCAUUCCCUCAGUGCAGCUCCACAGGGGAAAGUUUGGCUCAUCUGCCUCAUCUUCCCUAAUUACCUUUCCGCAGCGGCAGGCGGGAGGCGAGGAGCGGCUCUUCCCGCCGUCGGGCGGCGCUCGCUCUCCAGCACCGCCUCUCAGGCCCUCAGACCGGCAACCUCCAACCUCGGCGAGGGCUACGCCCUGUCUGGCCGCACACCCUGCGGCUGUGCCCGGCGGGAUGGCGAUCUGGCCGCUGCCCGUGGCGUGGCCUCCUCGGAGCCGCAGUGGCCCUCAGGCAGCCCCGGUCCCGGCCCGGCCCGGCCGCACGGCACCAUAGCAACCGCUGCCUCACGACGCCGGCCCGUCCCUAGCAACGGCGUCUCCUGGCGCCCCGCCCCUUCUGCCGCAAGUCUCGUGAGAUCUGGGUGCCACCGCCUCCUCCUCUGCGUGCUGGGCGGAUCUCGCGAGAGGAGGAGGCGGCGGUUGCCGGGCCUGGGAGCGGCGGACGGUGGCGGCGGGAGACGGUGGCUCGGCCGCGGCGCCGGGCGGUUAUUGCUUCUGCAUCUUUUUCCUUUUUAUCUCUGAUCCCAUCAAAAGUGUUACUUUAGGACUCUUCUUGCAGAGUUUGGAUCCAACUCCAUCAUAGACCUUUUCCAGGUUUGUUUCUGUCACUUGUCUGGCUUCAUUGUCCAAAGUAGUGGUUGAGCUUUGUAUCUUUUUGUUCUUUAUUGCUGGCUGCCUCUUACAAAUACGAGUGCAUACUUAAAACCUGGCUUCUUGGUAGCCUUUUGGCUCUCGUCUCUCAUCAUCUUAUUUUUGUUUGGCUUUUUUUCUUCAUAAAUCAUCUUCAGUGAUUCAUUUAAAGAGUACUUCUCUCUGUUGUUGCUUCAGUUUUGGCGAUCCUUUCCCCAGGAGACCCUCUCUCUCUGUCUUCAAUUUGCUAUUGAAUUAGAUGAUACAGAAAUACAAUUCAAAUUAUCAACUUCACACUAUUCACAGUCCAUAACUUAAUAGUUCACACCUGUUUUCUUUUAUGUGAGCUAAAAAUCUGUUCCUGCAUCAUCUUGUGUAGGUUACCUUAAAUUCCCAUAGCUUGAACAUAAGUGCAGUCAAAAGGAACUGGCUGUUUUUUUUCCUUUUUUAUGUUCUUUUACAUAUUUCUCUGUAGUUACAGAAAACUGUUCCACUGUAUUUGUUUUGCAGGUCUAUCAGUGUGGAUUUGUCUUUGACUAGCUGUCUUUGUUGCAAAACAUCACAGAGAAUAUAUUUUUUUUUCUGUUAAGACACACAAAUCUGCCAAAAACCUUUGCAUAUUACCUCUCAAUUUGUACCAUUUCUGCCUCAAAAACUCAUUAUGGUAUAUUACAUCCUGUCUGUGGUCAUCAUUACCAUCUACCAAUGACACUGAGACUGUUCUUAUGAGAUUUUUCAGCAUGUUUGUGCUUUUGUCUAAUGCAUCGAUGCCAGGCCAACUAGGUGUUAAGAAAAACAAGUUAAAUCAUCUCUCGUAUCACAUAUUAAAUUCCUUCUUGAAGCCCAGUUUUCAUUUUAGGCACAAUUGCAUUUGAAAAUGGUAAAUGGCUAAUGUGUAGAUGACACCACUUAUUAAAUUAGUCACAAAUGUCAUCACCGUUGUGUUUUCUGUCACUUUGUUAUAAACUGUAUGCUUUUGUAGAUUGUAUGCUUGAGGCUGGGGCUGUUUUGUCCUGUAUGCAUACACAAACCCCAAAAUCUCAUUAUGUGCUAAUUUCUUUCAGCACAGCUUUCCUUUAGCAGCGUUGCUUAAAUCUUGGCCUGGUGGUGUUGCUUAUCAAUAAAAGUAUGUAUCUCUUUAAAAUACA